UACGGAGGUAGCAAGCGUUAUCCGGAUUCACUGGGUUUAAAGGGUGCGUAGGUGGGCAGGUAAGUCCGUGGUGAAAUCCUAUAGCUUAACUAUAGAACUGCCAUGGAUACUAUUUGUCUUGAAUGUCGUAGAGGUAAGCGGGAUAUGUCAUGUAGCGGUGAAAUGCUUAGAUAUGACAUAGAACACCAAUUGCGAAGGCAGCUUACUAUGCGAUGAUUGACACUGAGGCACGAAAGCGUGGGUAGCAAACAGG
rnacentral:rRNA from 1 species